CUCUGGCACCCGGGACCCAGGCCUUUGGUCUGGCCACAGUGGAGAAACCAAGCCUUGAGGCUAGGCUUUUCCCCUCCGGCCGCAGCGAGGUUUGGCUUCUCUGCUGCACUCUUCAGUCUUCAAUCUUCA